AUUACAGAGUUUCAACACAAGAAAUUCAAUUCUUUAAUAAAUUGCUGAAUUUCAAUGAAGGAAUCAAAGUUAUGCCGUCCAAAUUCUUCGAAUAAGAAUUUCAGCAUUUAUGUUUAGGUCAGGACUUGUACAUAACAUUGGCAUCGAUGAACCACCAUCGUUUCUUGUCAUUGGACUCUAUUGCUUAUCUGAGGGGUCUUCACUGUCCAAAAUCCAAUGACCCACUUCGCGAACUUUUAAAGCUUGCCACUGCCACUCUAACAUAGUUGCCAUCUUGCAUAAACUUCGUUGAUCUCAUCUUGAACGAUGGUGGCAGAGGAGGCAAGAUUGGAAUCAAUGGUAAGGCAUUGCCGCUUCGCACAUUCUCUUCCAGUUUGCCGGAACUAAAUAUCUUAACCGCUUUGGUGUGACAGUGGUGGUAUUGCUAUUGAAGUGGCUGUGGUGGGGGCAAACAUUUGCGUGGCAGGGGAGGGGCAUGUUUUCUGUUAGUGAAUGUUAUAGUGAUUGCAGAUAUCGCAGAUCAAGCGGUGGAGAAUUAAAUAAAGCCUAUAGUCCUGAUUGCAAUCUGAUGGAGAUGGAUUUGGAAGGAAUGAGAUGGGCAGUUGAUGUGGGGAUAUGGGUAAUGUGUUUGGGAGUUGGGUACUUGGUUUCCAAAGCGUCUGCUCGGAGCUUGAGGCGUCUCGGGCUGAGGCUGCUUUAGCCCAUUUUUGUGCUUUUAGACCCUUGGAUGCUUUGAUUCGUAAUUGUACAAAACAGAGAAAACUUCCACUGCAUGUUAUCAAGUUA
rnacentral:misc_RNA from 1 species